GACGAACGCUGGCGGCGUGCUUAACACAUGCGAGUCGAACGGAAAGGCCCUGCUUUUGUGGGGUGCUCGAGUGGCGAACGGGUGAGUAACACGUGAGUAACCUGCCCUUGACUUUGGGAUAACUUCAGGAAACUGGGGCUAACACCGGAUAGGAGCUCCUGCUGCAUGGUGGGGGUUGGAAAGUUUCGGCGGUUGGGGAUGGACUCGCGGCUUAUCAGCUUGUUGGUGGGGUAGUGGCUUACCAAGGCUUUGACGGGUAGCCGGCCUGAGAGGGUGACCGGCCACAUUGGGACUGAGAUACGGCCCAGACUCCUACGGGAGGCAGCAGUGGGGAAUAUUGCACAAUGGGCGGAAGCCUGAUGCAGCAACGCCGCGUGCGGGAUGACGGCCUUCGGGUUGUAAACCGCUUUCGCCUGUGACGAAGCGUGAGUGACGGUAAUGGGUAAAGAAGCACCGGCUAACUACGUG
rnacentral:rRNA from 1 species